rnacentral:rRNA from 1 species
AGUCGAACGGCAGCACGGGUGCUUGCACCUGGUGGCNAGUGGCGAACGGGUGAGUAAUACGUCGGAACAUGUCCUGUAGUGGGGGAUAGCCCGGCGAAAGCCGGAUUAAUACCGCAUACGAUCUGAGGAUGAAAGCGGGGAACCUUCGGGCCUCGCGCUAUAGGGUUGGCCGAUGGCUGAUUAGCUAGUUGGUGGGGUAAAGGCCUACCAAGGCGACGAUCAGUAGCUGGUCUGAGAGGACGACCAGCCACACUGGGACUGAGACACGGCCCAGACUCCUACGGGAGGCAGCAGUGGGGAAUUUUGGACAAUGGGCGAAAGCCUGAUCCAGCAAUGCCGCGUGUGUGAAGAAGGCCUUCGGGUUGUAAAGCACUUUUGUCCGGAAAGAAAUCCUUGGUUCUAAUAUAGCCGGGGGAUGACGGUACCGGAAGAAUAAGCACCGGCUAACUACGUGCCAGCAGCCGCGGUAAUACGUAGGGUGCAAGCGUUAAUCGGAAUUACUGGGCGUAAAGCGUGCGCAGGCGGUUUGCUAAGACCGAUGUGAAAUCCCCGGGCUCAACCUGGGAACUGCAUUGGUGACUGGCAGGCUAGAGUAUGGUAGAGGGGGGGUAGAAUUCCACGUGUAGCAGUGAAAUGCGUAGAGAUGUGGAGGAAUACCGAUGGCGAAGGCAGCCCCCUGGGCCAAUACUGACGCUCAUGCACGAAAGCGUGGGGAGCAAACAGGAUUAGAUACCCUGGUAGUCCACGCCCUAAACGAUGUCAACUAGUUGUUGGGGAUUCAUUUCCUUAGUAACGUAGCUAACGCGUGAAGUUGACCGCCUGGGGAGUACGGUCGCAAGAUUAAAACUCAAAGGAAUUGACGGGGACCCGCACAAGCGGUGGGUGAUGUGGAUUAAUUCGAUGCAACGCGAAAAACCUUACCUACCCUUGACAUGGUCGGAAUCCUGCUGAGAGGCGGGAGUGCUCGAAAGAGAACCGGCGCACAGGUGCUGCAUGGCUGUCGUCAGCUCGUGUCGUGAGAUGCUGGGUUAAGUCCCGCAACGAGCGCAGCCCUUGUCCUUAGUUGCUACGCAAGAGCACUCUAAGGAGACUGCCGGUGACAAACCGGAGGAAGGUGGGGAUGACGUCAAGUCCUCAUGGCCCUUAUGGGUAGGGCUGCACACGUCAUACAAUGGUCGGAACAGAGGGUUGCCAACCCGCGAGGGGGAGCUAAUCCCAGAAAACCGAUCGUAGUCCGGAUUGCACUCUGCAACUCGAGUGCAUGAAGCUGGAAUCGCUAGUAAUCGCGGAUCAGCAUGCCGCGGUGAAUACGUUCCCGGGUCCUGUACACACCGCCCGUCACACCAUGGGAGUGGGUUUUACCAGAAGUGGCUAGUCUAACCGCAAGGAGGACGGUCACCACGGUAGGAUUCAUGACUGGGGUGAAGUCGUAACAAGGUAACCGUANU